UACGGGGGGAGCAAGCGUUGUUCGGAAUCAUUGGGCGUAAAGGGCGCGUAGGUGGUUCUGUAUGUCUACCGUGAAAGCGUACGGCUCAACCGUAUUUUGUCGGUAGAAACUGCAGGACUUGAGGCUGGGAGGGGCUGGUGGAAUUCCCUGUGUAGCGGUGAAAUGCGUAGAGAUGGGGGAGAACACUCGUGGCGAAGGCGGCCAGCUAGACCAGUUCUGACACUGAGGCGCGACAGCGUGGGGAGCAAACAGG
rnacentral:rRNA from 1 species